rnacentral:tRNA from 1 species
CAAAUUAAUUUAAAGUUAAGAUUUUCAUUUACACUGAAGUUUUUAUCGUGCAAUUCGAUAUAAUUUGA